AAGAGAUAUUACCUUGAUCCUGAGAAGAAGUGGAAACAUUAUGAGAACUCAUUAGACCAGUAGAAUGUGUGACUGUGGGAUUAGAUUGAGGAAGAAGUGCCAAUAGACCUUGAAUUUGCUCUUGAGAAAGUCCCAAAGUUGAGGAAUGUGACUGCGCCUGAAAAUUAUUAGAAGAAGAAACAACUGCAAAAGUCAUUGAAGGAGAAUAAAUUGUAGGAAAGCCAAGAAGAAGAGGUAGAAGAUGAAGAUUUUUUGCAGUAAGAGAAUUGGUUGCGGAAGAACGUGAUCAAGAAUUAAUUUUCUUCUGAUACCAUGUUACAAAAGAAGGAAGAAUGAAAUAUUGUAUUUCUUAUUCAAUGAUAAGGAGAGAGUACAAUUGAUAUAUAUAAUUGUUCAGAGCAAUAUAAAAAAGGAAUAUAAGUAUAAAAAUAUAUGAACAUAAAUGCAUAGAUAUAAACAGAGAAUAAAAUAAUUCCAAUAAUAACAAAAUCUCCUGAAUAAAAUUUUUAGUGGCUUCAUAACGAUUCAAAUGUAUUUUUUUGCAUAAAAAUUAACUUACUAAG
rnacentral:lncRNA from 1 species